ACAAGUCUUGCUCUUAAUUUUUUACCAGCCAGGAAUCUUACACCUGAAUAGCGAUGACAUAUCUAAUAUCAUACCAUAAAUUACUGUCGAGCUACAUUAGAAGAAAUGGUGGUAUACAGACAAGGAAAAAGGAGAAUUCUGUGCUUAUAUGAUGUGAAUGAUACACUUAGUACUUGUUUUACUUAAAUGAUUAAAUAGUCUGUGUACAGUAGCAGGAAAUGUUCAUUUUAAUAAGGUUUGGCUACAACAUAGCAA
rnacentral:lncRNA from 1 species